rnacentral:tRNA from 1 species
UGGAUUUUAGUUUAGAGUAAGAAUUUUUGACUGUUAAUCAAAGGGGGCAGUAGUUGUAAAUUCAG